CAGUCGCCACGGUAAAACAGAGGCCUCAAGCGUUGUUCGGAUUCAUUGGGCGUAAAGGGUGCGUAGGCGGUCGGGUAAGUCGGAUGUGAAAUCCUGGGGCUCAACCUCAGAACUGCAUUCGAUACUGCUUGGCUAGAGGACUGGAGAGGAGAUCGGAAUUCACGGUGUAGCAGUGAAAUGCGUAGAUAUCGUGAGGAAGACCAGUGGCGAAGGCGGAUCUCUGGACAGUUCCUGACGCUGAUGCACGAAGGCCAGGGGAGCAAACGGGAUUAGAUACCCCAGUAGUCCCUGUCUCUUAUAC
rnacentral:rRNA from 1 species